rnacentral:rRNA from 1 species
UUAACACAUGCAAGUCGUGCGAGAAAGUAUCUUCGGAUAUGAGUAGAGCGGCGGACGGGUGAGUAACGCGUAGGAAUCUACCUAGUAGAAGGGGAUAGCCCGAGGAAACUCGGAUUAAUACCGUAUACCUCCUUCGGGAGAAAGAAGGCCUCUCUUUGAAGCUUUCGCUACUAGAUGAGCCUGCGUAAGAUUAGCUUGUUGGUGAGGUAAAGGCUCACCAAGGCGACGAUCUUUAGCGGGUCUGAGAGGACGAUCCGCCACAUUGGGACUGAGACACGGCCCAGACUCCUACGGGAGGCAGCAGUGGGGAAUAUUGGACAAUGGGCGCAAGCCUGAUCCAGCCAUACCGCGUGUGUGAAGAAGGCCCUAGGGUUGUAAAGCACUUUAAGUUGGGAAGAAAAGUUAUUGGUUAAUACCCAAUAACCGUGACAUUACCAUCAGAAUAAGGACCGGCUAAUUCCGUGCCAGCAGCCGCGGUAAUACGGAAGGUCCAAGCGUUAAUCGGAAUUACUGGGCGUAAAGCGCGCGUAGGUGGUUUAUUAAGUUGGAUGUGAAAUCCCCGGGCUCAACCUGGGAACUGCAUCCAAAACUGAUUCACUAGAGUACGAUAGAGGGAGGUAGAAUUCACAGUGUAGCGGUGGAAUGCGUAGAUAUUGUGAAGAAUACCAAUGGCGAAGGCAGCCUCCUGGAUCUGUACUGACACUGAGGUGCGAAAGCGUGGGUAGCGAACAGGAUUAGAUACCCUGGUAGUCCACGCCGUAAACGAU